rnacentral:rRNA from 1 species
UACGUAGGGGCCUAGCGUUGUCCGGAAUUAUUGGGCGUAAAGAGCUCGUAGGCGGUUCGGCAAGUCGGAUGUGAAAUCUCCACGCUUAACGUGGAGGGGCCAUUCGAAACUGCUGUGACUCGAGUCCGGUAGGGGAGUGUGGAAUUCCCGGUGUAGCGGUGAAAUGCGCAGAUAUCGGGAGGAACACCAGUAGCGAAAGCGACUUCCUGGACCAAUACUGACGCUCAUGUGCGAAAGCGUGGGGAGCCAAACAGGG